rnacentral:rRNA from 1 species
AGAGUGAACGCUGGCGGCAGGCCUAACACAUGCAAGUCGAACGGCAGCACAGGAGAGCUUGCUCUCUGGGUGGCGAGUGGCGGACGGGUGAGGAAUACGUCGGAAUCUGCCUAUUUGUGGGGGAUAACGUAGGGAAACUUACGCUAAUACCGCAUACGACCUACGGGUGAAAGCGGAGGACCUUCGGGCUUCGCGCAGAUAGAUGAGCCGACGUCGGAUUAGCUAGUUGGCGGGUAAAGGCCCACCAAGGCGACGAUCCGUAGCUGGUCUGAGAGGAUGAUCAGCCACACUGGAACUGAGACACGGUCCAGACUCCUACGGGAGGCAGCAGUGGGGAAUAUUGGACAAUGGGACGCAAAGGCCUGACUCCAGCCCAAUGCCGCGCGUGUGAAGAAGGCCUUCGGAUUGAAAGCACUUUAAGUGGAGAAGGUUAGUAACGUUAAUACGUUGACUAAC